rnacentral:rRNA from 1 species
UCGCACGAGAAAGCCGGGGCAACCUGGUGAGUAAAGUGGCGUACGGGUGAGUAACACGUGGGUAAUCCACCUUCUAGUGGGGAAUAACCCUGGGAAACCGGGGCUAAUACCGCAUAAGCCUGAGAAGGGAAAGCAGCAAUGCGCUGGAAGAGGAGCCCGCGGCCGAUUAGCUAGUUGGUGGGGUAAUGGCUCACCAAGGCGAUGAUCGGUAGCCGGCCUGAGAGGGCUCACGGCCACACUGGCACUGAAAUACGGGCCAGACUCCUACGGGAGGCAGCAGUGGGGAAUUUUGCACAAUGGAGGAAACUCUGAUGCAGCGACGCCGCGUGAGCGAUGAAGCCCUUCGGGGUGUAAAGCUCUUUCGACGGGAACGAUAAUGACGGUACCCGGAGAAGAAGCUGCGGCUAACUACGUGCCAGCAGCCGCGGUAAUACGUAGGCAGCGAGCGUUGUUCGGAAUUACUGGGCGUAAAGAGUGUGUAGGCGGCGCUUCAAGUUCGGUGUGAAAUCUCCCGGCUUAACUGGGAGGGUGCGCCGAAAACUGGAGUGCUUGAGCAUGGGAGAGGAAAGCGGAAUUCCUGGUGUAGCGGUGAAAUGCGUAGAUAUCAGGAGGAACACCUGCGGUGUAGACAGCUUUCUGGACCAUUGCUGACGCUGAGACACGAAAGCGUGGGUAGCAAACAGGAUUAGAUACCCUGGUAGUCCACGCCCUAAACGAUGCAUACUUGGUGUGGGCCAUUCAGUUGGUCCGUGCCGGAGCUAACGCG